GGAUUCCCCUAGUAACUGCGAGUGAAGCGGGAAAAGCUCAAAUUUAAAAUCUGGCAGUCUCUGGCUGUCCGAGUUGUAAUCUAGAGAAGUAAUGCCCGUGCUGGACCGUGUAUAAGUCUCCUGGGAUGGGGCGUCAUAGAGGGUGAGAAUCCCGUCUUUGACACGGACUACCAGUGCAUUGUGGUAUGCUCUCAAAGAGUCGAGUUGUUUGGGAAUGCAGCUCAAAAUGGGUGGUAAAUUCCAUCUAAAGCUAAAUAUUGGCGAGAGACCGAUAGCGAACAAGUACCGUGAGGGAAAGAUGAAAAGAACUUUGGAAAGAGAGUUAAACAGUACGUGAAAUUGCUGAAAGGGAAACGCUUGAAGUCAGUCGCGUUGGCCGGGAAUCAGCCUUGCUUUUGCAUGGUGUACUUUCUGGUUGACGGGUCAGCAUCAAUUUUGACCGCUGGAAAAAGGCCUGGGGAAUGUGGCAGCUUCGGCUGUGUUAUAGCCYCUAGUCACAUACAGUGGUUGGGAUUGAGGAACUCAGCACGCCGCAAGGCCGGGUUUCGACCACGUUCGUGCUUAGGAUGCUGGCAUAAUGGCUUUAAGCGACCCGUCUUGAAACACGGACCAAGGAGUCUAACAUGCCUGCGAGUAUUUGGGUGGAAAACCCAAGUGCGUAAUGAAAGUGAAAGUUGAGAUCCCUGUCGUGGGGAGCAUCGACGCCCGGACCAGAACUUUUGGGACGGAUCCGCGGUGGAGCAUGUAUGUUGGGACCCGAAAGAUGGUGAACUAUGCCUGAAUAGGGUGAAGCCAGAGGAAACUCUGGUGGAGGCUCGUAGCGAUUCUGACGUGCAAAUCGAUCGUCAAAUUUGGGUAUAGGGGCGAAAGACUAAUCGA
rnacentral:rRNA from 1 species